rnacentral:rRNA from 1 species
CAGCAGCCGCCGCGGGAAUACAGAGGGUGCGAGCGUUAAUCGGAUUUACUGGGCGUAAAGCGUGCGUAGGCGGCUUCUUAAGUCGGAUGUGAAAUCCCUGAGCUUAACUUAGGAAUUGCAUUCGAUACUGGGAAGCUAGAGUAUGGGAGAGGAUGGUAGAAUUCCAGGUGUAGCGGUGAAAUGCGUAGAGAUCUGGAGGAAUACCGAUGGCGAAGGCAGCCAUCUGGCCUAAUACUGACGCUGAGGUACGAAAGCAUGGGGAGCAAACAGGAUUAGAUACCCCAGUAGUCCCUGUCUCUUAUAC